UACGAAGGGGGCUAGCGUUGUUCGGAAUUACUGGGCGUAAAGCGCACGUAGGCGGAUAUUUAAGUCAGGGGUGAAAUCCCGGGGCUCAACCCCGGAACUGCCUUUGAUACUGGGUAUCUCGAGUCCGGAAGAGGUGAGUGGAAUUCCGAGUGUAGAGGUGAAAUUCGUAGAUAUUCGGAGGAACACCAGUGGCGAAGGCGGCUCACUGGUCCGGUACUGACGCUGAGGUGCGAAAGCGUGGGGGAGCAAACAGG
rnacentral:rRNA from 1 species